AGAUAAGAAUAAAAGCAGGCUGCCUGAGGUCGCGGUGGUAACGUGUUCCGGCGUCCUUCCACGCUGUAGUGGCUUACGUUGUUUUGCUGUUUGGGGUUUGCACUCUUUUUGAGCUGUAACACGGCAAAGGUUUGCAGCUUCGCUCCUGAAAUCAUCGAGACCACAAACCCACCGGGAAGAACGAACAACUCCAAACGCACCACUUUAAGAGCUGUAAUACUCGUCGGGAAGGUGUACAGCUUCACUCCUGAGUCAGCGAGACCACGAACCCAUCAGAAGGAAAAAACUCCAAACAUCAGAAGGAACAAGUUUCAGACACGCCACCUUUAAGAACUGUGACACUCACCGCGAGGGUCCGCGGCUUCAUUCUUGAAGUCCGUGAGACCAAGAACCUACCAAUUCCGAAUACGUUGGGUUCAAGUGCUUCUCCUGUCUCAGACUCCCGAGUAGCUGGGAUUACAGGCGCCCACCACGCCCAGGUAAUUGUAUGACAAUGGAGAGGUGAUUACUGCGCUGAAAAUCAGUUUCCUGAAGUGAAAAAGGGAAUCAAGUUACGUCGCAGAGCCUGGCGUGAGCGGCGCUCAGUCAACACCAGCUCUUCAUGGGUUGUGGUUUCCUCCAGUUCCUGGAUGUGCGGAGUUCAUCCUCCAUUGACUGGCGCCCCGAUUGACAAUGAGGUCUGAUGGUCCAGCUCUGCAUCGGUGUGCUUGUCCUAAAGGAAAACGAAGUGAGAGCUUCCUGCUAGAACAGCCCCACAGUCCUGCCAGCAGUUGUCAUCUGGAUCUGUCAUAUUUUGCCUCUAUUAACAUCUGAUGUCACUGAUCUCACAAAAGAUGGAGAACAGAUGUCCUUCCCGCUGUUGUGUAUUCUCUCACCCUCACUUUCUAUCAGUUUUUCCUUCCAGAAGACAUAAGAGGAUGAUGAGCUACAGGAAACAAACCGAGUCUUAUACACCUAAAAUUGGGUUCAGGUGCCUUUGUUUCUUGCUUGCCCUCUCAAAUAGUUGAAAGCUAUAGGCUCAGCUAGGAUGGCAUGUUCCAAUGUGGGAACUCAGGGGAAAUUUCUGGCUUUUUCCUUUCUCUUCUCAGCAUUUAUUAGUCCCACUAAUAACAGCUUCUGGAGACUCAUUUAGGAAGCACAGCAUCUCCUCUCUUGGACCAAGAGGUGACACACCUUCAGCUCAGGGGUGUGUGAAUGACCAGCCUGGCCAUCAGUUGAUCCAAUCCCUGGUGCGACAGCAUUUUCUUCAGGAAUGGGCACAUGCCCUAGUUAAUCCAAUCAGAGCUAAUACUUUGACUGUUACCGGGGAGAUUGGAAGGAAGUUGUUGGCAGUCCUUUGUGCUGCUCUUAUAGUUUAAAGAUGAAAGACUGGAGCUUCCAGAGACCGCAUGGAGAGCUCCUGUUUGAGUAUGAAACGUACACAGAUGAAAGUGGAGCCAGGGCAUGGGGAAAGAAAGAGAGGCAGAGAGAUAGAGAUAGAGAUCCAUAGACAGGUGGACAGAUAGAGAGGGAUAAGCUUAAAACCAACUCUCCUACUAGCCUUUUUCCAUCACAUGAUUGAACAAUUCCCCUGUUUUACUUAUGUUACUUUGAGUUGAAUCUUCAUUAAUUUGCAAUUCUAAGAGUUAUGACUAAUAAAUGUGUGCUCACAGCCAUCUGGGUCCCAAGC